rnacentral:rRNA from 1 species
CCUACGGGUGGCAGCAGUGAGGAAUAUUGGUCAAUGGGCGCGAGCCUGAACCAGCCAAGUAGCGUGAAGGAUGACUGCCCUACGGGUUGUAAACUUCUUUUAUCAAGGAAUAAAGUGCGGCACGUGUGCCUUUUUGCAUGUACUUGAUGAAUAAGGAUCGGCUAACUCCGUGCCAGCAGCCGCGGUAAUACGGAGGAUGCGAGCGUUAUCCGGAUUUAUUGGGUUUAAAGGGUGCGUAGAUGGGUUGUUAAGUCAGUUGUUAAAGUUGGGGGCUCAACCGUCAUAGUGCAAUUGAUACUGGCAGCCGUGAGUACAGUAGAGGUAGGCGGAAUGCGUGGUGUAGCGGUGAAAUGCUUAGAUAUCGCGAAGAACUCCGAUUGCGAAGGCAGCUUACUGACC